rnacentral:rRNA from 1 species
AGAGUUUGAUCCUGGCUCAGAACGAACGCUGGCGGCGUGCCUAACACAUGCAAGUCGAACGCGAAAGUUUUCUUCGGAAGACGAGUAGAGUGGCACACGGGUGAGUAACGCGUAAGUUAUCUACCUCGGCAUCUGGAAUAACUCACCGAAAGGUGUGCUAAUACCGGAUACGUUGAGUAAUCAAGAAAGGUGGCCUCUGAAUAUGCUACUGUGCUGAGAUGAGCUUGCGUACCAUUAGCUAGUUGGUAGGGUAAUGGCCUACCAAGGCAACGAUGGGUAGCCGGCCUGAGAGGGUGACCGGCCACACUGGGACUGAGACACGGCCCAGACUCCUACGGGAGGCAGCAGUGGGGAAUAUUGCACAAUGGGCGCAAGCCUGAUGCAGCGACGCCGCGUGAGGGAUGACGGCCUUCGGGUUGUAAACCUCUUUCAGUAGGGAAGAAGCGAAAGUGACGGUACCUGCAGAAGAAGCGCCGGCUAACUACGUGCCAGCAGCCGCGGUAAUACGUAGGGCGCAAGCGUUAUCCGGAAUUAUUGGGCGUAAAGAGCUCGUAGGCGGUUUGUCGCGUCUGCCGUGAAAGUCCGGGGCUCAACUCCGGAUCUGCGGUGGGUACGGGCAGACUAGAGUGAUGUAGGGGAGACUGGAAUUCCUGGUGUAGCGGUGAAAUGCGCAGAUAUCAGGAGGAACACCGAUGGCGAAGGCAGGUCUCUGGGCAUUAACUGACGCUGAGGAGCGAAAGCAUGGGGAGCGAACAGGAUUAGAUACCCUGGUAGUCCAAGUCGAACCGCCCCUCCCGCCGCCUUACGAUUACGUUGA